AGUAGCAAUACUUAGUGGCAGACGGGUGGGUAACAUGUAGGUAUCUGCCCUUCGGCCUGGAAUAACACGAGGAAACUUGCGCUAAUACCGGAUAAGUCUUUACGGAGAAAGCUUUAUGCACCAUUGGAUGAGCCCGCACUUGAUUAGUUUGUUGGUGGGGUAAUGGCCUACCAAGACUUUGAUCAAUAGCUGAUUUGAGAGGAUGAUCAGCCACAUUGGGACUGAGACACGGCCCAAACUCCUACGGGAGGCAGCAGUGGGGAAUCUUGCACAAUGGAGGAAACUCUGAUGCAGCGAUGCCGCGUGAGUGAAGAAGGCCUUUGGGUUGUAAAGCUCUUUCGUCGGGGAAGAAAAUGACUGUACCCGAAUAAGAAGGUCCGGCUAACUUCGUGCCAGCAGCCGCGGUAAUACGAAGGGACCUAGCGUAGUUCGGAAUUACUGGGCUUAAAGAGUUCGUAGGUUGUUAAAAAAGUUGGUGGUGAAAUCCCAGAGCUUAACUCUGGAACUGCCAUCAAAACUUUUUAGCUAGAGUGUGAUAGAGGAAAGCAGAAUUUCUAGUGUAGAGGUGAAAUUCGUAGAUAUUAGAAAGAAUACCAAUUGCGAAGGCAGCUUUCUGGAUCAUUACUGACACUGAGGAACGAAAGCAUGGGUAGCGAAGAGGAUUAGAUACCCUCGUAGUCCAUGCCGUAA
rnacentral:rRNA from 1 species